AGUGGAUGGGGAGCAACCUAGUUGUGCGUGUGUAAAGGUAGUGCCAAGAAAAGCGAUGAUCAUGUUGAAAAUCAAUUCCCGGUACCCGAAACCGACACAGGUGGGCAAGUAGAGAAUACUAAGGGGCGCGAGGUAACUCUCUCCAAGGAACUCGGCAAAAUGACCCCGUAACUUAGGGAGAAGGGGUGCCACCGAGAGGUGGUCGCAGUGAAGAGGCCCAGGCGACUGUUUAGCAAAAACAUAGGUCUCUGCAAACUCGAAAGAGGAGGUAUAGGGGCUGACGCCUGCCCAGUGCCGGAAGGUUAAAGAAGUUGGUCAGUUUUAGGAUGAAGCUAGCGACUGAAGCCCCGGUGAACGGCGGCCGUAACUAUAACGGUCCUAAGGUAGCGAAAUUCCUUGUCGGGUAAGUUCCGACCCGCACGAAAGGCGUAACGAUCUGGGCGCUGUCUCGGAGAGAGGCUCGGCGAAAUAGGAUUGUCUGUGAAGAUACGGACUACCUGCAUUUGGACAGAAAGACCCUAUGAAGCUUUACUAUAGCUUGGAAUUGUGUUCGGGCUUCCUGUGCGCAGGAUAGGUGGGAGGCGUAGAAGGUAUUCUUGUGGGGAUACUGGAGCCAACGGUGAGAUACCACUCUCAGGAGGCUAGAAUUCUAACUUAAUUAAGGACAGUUUCAGGUGGGUAGUUUGACUGGGGCGGUCGCCUCCAAAAAGGUAACGGAGGCGUACAAAGGUUCCCUCAGACUGGUUGGAAAUCAGUCGAAGAGUGCAAAGGCAGAAGGGAGCUUGACUGCGAGAAGUACAGUUCGAGCAGGGUGGAAACACGGUCUUAGUGAUCCGACGGUGCUGUGUGGAAGGGCCGUCGCUCAACGGAUAAAAGUUACUCUAGGAUAACAGGCUGAUCUCCCCCAAGAGUUCACAUCGACGGGGAGGUUUGGCACCUCGAUGUCGGCUCAUCGCAACCUGGGGCGGAAGUACGUCCCAAGGGUUGGGCUGUUCGCCCAUUAAAGCGGUACGUGAGCUGGGUUCAGAACGUCGUGAGGCAGUUCGGUCCAUAUCCGAUGUAGGCGUGAGAAUAUUGAGAGGAGCCUUCCUUAGUACGAGAGGACCGGGAAGGACGCACCGCUGGUGUACCUGUUAUGAUGCCAAUUGUAAACGCAGGGUAGCCAAGUGCGGAGAGGAUAACCGCUGAAAGCAUCUAAGUGGGAAGCCCACCUCAAGAUGAGUAUUCUGGUGUAAGGUCACGGGAAGACGACCCGUAAAUAGGCACGAGGUGGAAGUGCAGAGAUGUAUGAAGCCGAAGUGUGCUAAUAGACCGUCGGCUUGACC
rnacentral:rRNA from 1 species